AUCAGUGAUCUUUGAUGUUACUAUUGUAAUUGUUUGGGGGCACUACGAACCGUGCCCAUAUACGACGGUGAACUUUUUUUUUUAAGAUUUUUUUUGAUGUGAACCAUUUUAAAAGUCUUUAUUGAAUUAGUUACAAUAUUGCUUCUGUUUUAUGUUUUGGUUUUUGGCUGCGAGGCAUGUGGGAUCUUAGCUCCCAGACCAGGGAUCGAACCUGCACCCCCUGCAUUGGAAGGUGAAGUCUUACCACUGCACUGCCAGGAAAGUCCCUAAGACGAUGGGGGGCAGAGGAUCUGGAAUAGGAUUGUAAAUCCUGGGGGAUGAAGGAGCUACUAGAUGGAAGGAAGCUGGGUCCCUGAAAGACUAGAUGGAACAGAGCCUUUAUUCCACCUCCAUCUCUCAUUGAACUGUGACAUGUGUGAAAGGUUGGAAAUCUGUGAGGUCCUUAUGCUGGGAUCAUUUAAUCUGCAGUUACCUUGAAGACUCCAUUGUGGCUGGAGGGUCCAGGUUGUCUUCACUCAGAUGUGUGGCAAUGGGUGCUGGAUAUUGCCUGAGACUCCUCAGCUCUCCUCCACAUGAUCUCUCAUCUUCUGAUGCUGCUUAUGAAUAUCUGGGAAAUUGGGCAGUGACCAGAUAAGUACAGGUGUACCUUGGAGAUAUUAUGGGUUCGGUUCCAGACUACCACGGUAAAGCGAAUAUUGUGAUAAAGCAAGUCGCACAAUUUUUUUGGUUUAUCAGUGUAUAUAAAAGUUAUACUUACAAUAUA